CGUUGAAACACCUGUUCCAAUAUGAUCACCGAAGUUAAGCAACGUCGAGCCUGGUCACUACUUUGAUGAAUGACCGCUUCGGGAUGCUAGAUAUUGUAAG